rnacentral:rRNA from 1 species
UUGGAGGGCAAGUCUGGUGCCAGCAGCCGCGGUAAUUCCAGCUCCAAUAGCGUAUAUUAAAGUUGUUGCAGUUAAAAAGCUCGUAGUUGAAUUUCGGGGUCAGCAGGUUGGUCGUGCCAAUGGUAUGCACUGGCCUUGCUGAUUCCUCCCUCUUGAUGAGCCGUAAUGCCAUUAAUUUGGUGUUGCGGGGAAUCAGGACUGUUACUUUGAAAAAAUUAGAGUGUUUAAAGCAGGCAAGCGCUUGAAUACAUUAGCAUGGAAUAAUGAAAUAGGACGUUCGAUCCUAUUUUGUUGGUUUCUAGGAUUGACGUAAUGAUUAAUAGGGAUAGUUGGGGGCAUUAGUAUUCAAUUGUCAGAGGUGAAAUUCUUGGAUUUAUUGAAGACUAACUACUGCGAAAGCAUUUGCCAAGGAUGUUUUCAUUAAUCAGGAACGAAAGUUAGGGGAUCGAAGACGAUCAGAUACCGUCGUAGUCUUAACCAUAAACUAUGCCGACUAGGGAUCGGAUGAUGUUAAUUUUUUAAUGACCCAUUCGGCGCCUUACGGGAAACCAAAGUGUUUGGGUUC